rnacentral:rRNA from 1 species
CCGUAAGGCGCAAGCCUGAUCCAGCCAUGCCGCGUGCAGGAUGACGGUCCUAUGGAUUGUAAACUGCUUUUAUACGAGAAGAAACACUCCGACGUGUCGGAGCUUGACGGUAUCGUAAGAAUAAGGAUCGGCUAACUCCGUGCCAGCAGCCGCGGUAAUACGGAGGAUCCAAGCGUUAUCCGGAAUCAUUGGGUUUAAAGGGUCCGUAGGCGGUUUAAUAAGUCAGUGGUGAAAGCCCAUCGCUCAACGGUGGAACGGCCAUUGAUACUGUUAGACUUGAAUUAUUAGGAAGUAACUAGAAUAUGUAGUGUAGCGGUGAAAUGCUUAGAGAUUACAUGGAAUACCAAUUGCGAAGGCAGGUUACUACUAAUGGAUUGACGCUGAUGGACGAAAGCGUGGGUAGCGAACAGGAUUAGAUACCCUGGUAGUCCACGCCGUAAACGAUGGAUACUAGCUGUUGGAAGCAAUUUCAGUGGCUAAGCGAAAGUGAUAAGUAUCCCACCUGGGGAGUACGUUCGCAAGAAUGAAACUCAAAGGAAUUGACGGGGGCCCGCACAAGCGGUGGAGCAUGUGGUUUAAUUCGAUGAUACGCGAGGAACCUUACCAAGGCUUAAAUGUAGUUUGACCGGUUUGGAAACAGAUCUUUCGCAAGACAAAUUACAAGGUGCUGCAUGGUUGUCGUCAGCUCGUGCCGUGAGGUGUCAGGUUAAGUCCUAUAACGAGCGCAACCCCUGUUGUUAGUUGCCAGCGAGUCAUGUC